AUACAUUUCCCUUUCCUUUUAUAUGAAUAAAAAGCUUAAUUAUUAACUUACAUGAUCUCCUUAAAUAGGCAUCUUAAGGGUUAAUGAUUUAGCUAGCCUAGUCACUGUGCUUCACUUUACAGAACACAGCCGUAAAUUGAGCUAAUAUGGCAGCAUGCUAUAAAUCAUUAAAUAAUAAGGAGCAGGAGAGCAGGCACUGUCUGCAAUAAACUAAAGUGGGGGAUUUCUGUGUUUUUUCUGUGUGAUUUUCAACACUACACCGGCUAACUCCACUCCCUGAUGCAUCUGACAGAAACUUUAAAAUUAUAGGAUUCCUGCCGUAACAGAAGGAAGUAUGCUAAUUAUAUUCGCUCCUUACCUUCUAUAGGGGCCAUGGAUGGGGCACUUUUUGAGUGGAUUUUUUUAUGCUAGAUGACUCCUCACACACAGUAGAGCUGCUGCUUGGACUGUGUCAGAUUUGGAACUUCAGGACCCAGUCAGAUCGCACCUGCUGGCCCCUCCCCCCCCACAUUUUUCUCAGCCACUGGAGAGGAUAAAAAAAUAAAAUAAACAUUUUGUAAAAAUUUAAUACAUUCUGCUGCAAAUUUGGGCUCUAUAAAGGCAAUAGAGCAGCUGUGAUGUCGGCACUUCUCCCUCUUAUAAGUGCUAUACCUUUUGUCUCUGAAGUGCCGCCCCAUGGUUGAGCCGGCCCUGCCUGGCUGACAUGAGAGUCACUGACGUCAUAAUAUAUUUACUCACCACCUCCUCCUCCUAAAUGGCGUCCUCCUCACUAGUGUCAGCUGAGCCACACACACAGGGCAAGUUUAGGCUAAGGCUAGAGUUCCUGCGCGCAGUAAUAGUAGAGCAGCAGGAAGUGGAACAAAUUCCUAUGCUCUGCUCUCUAGAAGUAUAGCGCACCCUACAGUUUCCACACACACAGCUCUCAGUGUGCGAGUGUCACGUGACAUGCCAGCUUGUUCUCACUCGCACACUGAGACCUGUGCGAUUAGCAAAGCUAUGGGCUGGGUUGUGGGAGGCGCUGCAGGAACUGCAGUCAGAAAGGGGAAAGUGCUUUUCCCUAUACUUCUAUCUAUCGCACAUGAGGUGCUGUACGAUAGCAGUAAACAUGGCAAUUUUUUAUUUUUUUACAAAACUGCAGUGGAGCCUGGAUUAAAUUAUAUAAUUACAUUUAUUAAGCCAAAAUAUAUCAUGAAUUAGAUUUAUUAAGAAAAUAUUUUUUUUAUUAUUAUUCUUUUGGGGGGCUCUGGGGGCUGGGGGUUCACGUGCGGCUGUGAUCCUAUGGAGGAGCCUCCACUGCUCUAAGGACCUUUGUCUUGUUUUCCUACAUGACUGCUUCACACAUGCUAUAUCCAAGUAACUCCGCUUUGGCAAAGAUCUUUCUUCUCCAUAUGUUAAUUAGCAGUAAGUACAGUAAACAGUCUUCAUAGCAGCUGUGUCUUUGGGAAGUGGAAGCAGCGGGCCCCUGCUGAAGCUACCCAAUGCUAGUUAUAUACUGUGGUACAUUACAAGUAUGUUCCCCAUCAUAUGUCCCAUGCAAGCCCAACCCAGAAAAUGCACAGCUAAUAUUCAUGGUAAACUCUCUUCUGUAGCAUUUUAUUGCUCUGUCUGCCUAUAAUUACUAAAUCUUUACUAACCCAAUUCCUGAUCCUUUUUAUACCAUUCCACAGACACCUCUGGAUUUAUCUUAUUCCUAUUUCCCUUCUUAUGCUCUUUAUUUUAUAUUUGUUGCAUUUAUGAAAUUAUGAUAUGGAGUGACUGUUAGGCUGUAGUUUUGAAGCAUUUGUUCAUAUAGCUAACCACUUAAACCCACUAAAUAUAUAUGCUGUACAGCCCAGAAUAUAUACCUUAAGGCUUUAUGUUCAUAUUUAAGGUUAAUUCUUCUAAACGUUUUAUCUCUGCAUUUUCUACUUAAAUAUUAACUACUAUAAGCAAUGCAAAUUUACCACAAUGUCCUGUUUCUUACGUUAAAUAGUAUGUAUUUAUUUUCCCAAUCUGCAGGUUAACAGAUCUACAGCACCAGCAUACAGCCAACACUUACAGUGUCUAGUUCAUUGUCAAAAGAAAUGUCUGUGCCUCCUUUGUUAAACCAGAUCUAGCAAUGUGAAGCGAGAGGCCAUAAUGUACAAAGAGAUGUCUUCACCUCAACUGCGUCUGCUGAAGAAAUGCAUCUGUGCAAUCAUUAGACUACUGGCAAAUGAGGUGUAGAAUGUUGACAAAAACCUCACAUCCAGGCUGCAAGUUGGUAAGGCCAGAGACUGGGGCUACUGUUGCCUUUCCCAUAUAUUAGAUUCAAUUUUGUAACAAAUUGCUUUAUAAAUUAUAAAGCAGAAAUGUAAUGCUGCUGUUUAGCUAAGGUUUUAUGAUUUGAUGUUUGUUCAUUUGCCACAACAAAGGCAGGCGGUAUACAUUGUAUUCUGUGUUUGACAACUGUGUUUAUAGGCAGUGGGGACAGUGCGGCCGACUGAUCUCACCACCUGUGAUCAUGGAAAGCUAGGCAGAUUUCAAUCUGUACCUCCAAAUACCUUUUUUUGGAUUUUUUUUUUUUGUCUGUUGUGAAUGUAUAGCUGUCUCCUCUGCAUCUUCCAUUAACAUUUGUUUAAGGUUAUCCGGUCAAGCUGCUGUCUGCUGCAUGAAAAGGACACAUCUGCUAUGUCAUUCUGCUGCACAAGAUAAGAUUUCACUGGGACACCAAGGAUGCCAAAGAUUCAACCAGAUUCGUCAAUCCUCAAGACGUUUUCAGAACGCCACGUCGGUAUAUAUGUGUAAUGUAUUUAUUUUUAAGUUUUUUUUUUCUAUAUUUAUAUUUUUUAUGUUAUUUAUUGUUAUGUAUAAAGUUAUUUGUAGUAUGGUAACUUAACACAUUGCGUUCUGUGUCUGCUGAAGUGUUCACGGAUAGUGAGAGUAGAGUGAGGACUGCUCUCACUGUUUGUGAUCAUGGGAAGCUAAUCAGGUUUCAGUUUGGUUAUUGUAUAAUUUUAUAAUUAAUAUGUAUAAUCUAUAUUUAGUAUAUUUAUUAUUAUUAAUAAAGUUAUUUCUAGUAUGGUAACCAUGAACACAAUGAGUUCUGUGUCUGCUGAAGUGUUCACGGAUAGUGAGAGUAGAGUGCAGACUCAGGUUUCAGUUUGUUUGGUUAUCUAUUGUACAAUAUUAUGUAUAAUUAUUAUUUAUUAUGUAUAAUAUGUGUGUUCUAUAUGAUAUGUAUAUUUAGUAUGUUCUGUAUAAAGUUGUUUGUAGUAUAGUAACUGAACGCAGAAUUUUUAUGUCUAAAGACUGCAUGUUAUUUCUGAAUCAUUAAAGUUUUUAUUUUGA